rnacentral:lncRNA from 1 species
GCGGGGGAGAGACGGAGAGACACGAAAAAUGUAAGGGGGUCACUACACAAAUCAGUCCUCAUCACCGAUGGGAAGACAUGCCCAUUAGAAGAGCACAGAACCCACAGCAGCUGUCUCUGCCUGGAGGGUGCCGCCUGGCCCUGCUUAAAGCCGCCUAUGUCUUGCAGCGGUGGACAGAAUAGGGCUUCAAGGGGGCUGAGUCUCAGUCCACACCAAGUCCCUGAUUCCCUGGGCAGCUGGAGUGAGUGCUACAAAGGGCGCCUGUGCUCCACGGCAGGGAGCCAGCCUGGAUCCAGAGCUGAGGGUCUGAGGGAGGUGGGUCUGCAGCCACAUCUGAUGGGCCUUCAGAGUCCCCUGAAGGCAUCUGGGACGGCGCCUGCAAGAUAACACAGAGAACAGCCCAGGGUAGGGACCAGGCGUGCAGUGUGACUCAGCUGGGAAGAGCUCCCCA